rnacentral:lncRNA from 1 species
GCCCCUUCUCCUUUGUUUAAAACCUAACCCUAACCCAUAUGAAAGAGAGUCUGGAGAGAGGGGGGGAGAAGAGACGGGAGACAGAGACGGAGAAGUCUCUGGCUUCGACACGCUGGACGCGCCGCACAUAGCUCUCCGGCGUCGACAUGACAGAUGGGUCCGCCGUACAUGGUGGUGGGUUAUGUUGGUUCUCCGGCGUCGGCAACGGUGAAGAGGCAUCCACCGGGCGGAGGCAAUCCGACGUUAUCAACAGGUAAAACAUGCCUCGGUUGUGAUUUGUGCUGAAUUAUUCUCCUCUUUCGUCUCCGUAUUGCUAGAGGAGGCAUAGACUUAGAAUCAAAGAGGCGAGUAUUCAAAGAAGAGCCAAUCCCACUUACAACAACCACGACGUCGGGGUUGGAUACUGGUUAACACUGGCUUACAAAGUAUAAUAAAACAACACACAAAUAAAAUUUCGGGUUCGUCACGGUCCCGAUUUCUACAACUGCACUUUAAAUAUGGACCUUACUGAAGAUGGGACUAAGAUUGGCACUCUUCAGUUACUUGAAGAUGAUAAGGGUCUGGCGACGGGCCAGUUUGCAGCAAUUUACGAACAAUAGGUUUGUAUGGGCCAUGUGUGAUCUUGGAAUCAUGGGACGAUAAUGGGUUUCCUAUAUGUGAAAAGGCCUGCGGAAUUGCAAACUCGGAAGAUAAAUCUAAGAUGGGUAAACCCGUCAAGAUUAAGCCAAAACCUGAUGAUUGUUUGAGGAAUUCAGUUAUAAUGAUAUGAGAUUAGUUUAGAAUUAUAUUUUGGUGUAUAUGUGUAAGCGGUAUGCAUUUUUUGGUAUGUUGGAAUAAUUUUAUUAAAUAUUAAAUUUAGUUUUAUAUCACAAGCA